CAUGAAGUGGAUCAUCAUAGUGCGUGUGUGCGUGUGUGCGUGUGUGCGUGUGUGUGUGUGUGUGUGUGGUGAGGAUUGAACCUAGGGCCCCACACAUCUGGCAAGGGCUCUACCACUGAGCCACAUCCCCAGCUCAAUGGUCAUUAUAACACAAGGGGACAGGUGUCCAUACGAUGCUUAGUGGAGAGACCCGGAUUUUUUUUUUUUUUUUAAACAAUGGCCUUCAACAGUGCAGACCCUGGAUCAUAGAAUAAUAAUAGAAAUGGAUCUUUAUCAACAUCCUGCUCACUUUUUAUCUUCACAACAAAUCCAAGGAAAAGGCAAUGGCUUCAGGUGACGGACUGAGGGGUGCAGAGGGAGAGUGUCCUUGGCAGGUGGAGCUGGGGCGGCGCCGGGCCCUGGGCUUCCAGGCCCUUGUCUUUGGAGCCCUGCCAUCACUGCAACAGCUGCCCACCACACAAGCUGGCUGUGUUGGCCAGGCCUCGGCUGCCCACUCAGCCCCCGGGGCUCUCGUGAAGCUUGACAAAUGAAGAAGGACAGAAUGGAGGCUCCCAGAGCGGGGCAAUGCCGAGAGGCUGUGAUGGCUGACUCCAGAUGCCUCCUCUGAUCUCAUCCUGUGUUCCUACCCCGGACUCCUGUGUGGAUAGGGCUGGCCUGUGUGACCAAGGGGCCUCUCAAGCAAGUGGUAGGCACACUGGAGUUGAGCACCCAGGCAGCUCUGUGGAGAAGCCCACUAGGGGUGACCAGGCCUCUCAGGGCCACCCAGCUCAUGCCAGACCACAGCAGCCUGUGAAGCUCUUGGAGCACUGCAGCCCCAGCUCCCGCAGGAAUGGACCCUUUUGAGAACCCCCAAGCCAGACUCACUCAGCUGAGCUCUCAAUCUUGACCCAGAGGAACCUGGAGGAUAGCCAAGGACCUACAUUGCUUCACGCCUCUAAGUUUUGAGGCAACUUGUUGCACAACAGCAGAGAAACUGAACCUCUUUCAAGGCCCCAUUUAUGGGCUCUGGGGACCUCAGUCAAACACUGAGAGGUGCUGGGGUUCAGGGGGCACUUUCAGUAUAUUUUCUUUUCUCCUCAAAGAAAUUAAUUU
rnacentral:lncRNA from 1 species